rnacentral:piRNA from 1 species
UGCCUCUUCCAGAAAAAACAAACCACAAA